GGUUCGGGAGCUGCCGGUGGGACGGUAUGCAGGAAUUGGACCUCAAACCCCCUUCAUUCGUGAGCGGUGCGGCCUUUCCCGCAGGCCUGCAUG
rfam:Roseovarius sp. 22II1-1F6A contig23, whole genome shotgun sequence.